AUGCAGGUAGGGGAUGGAAUCUGGGCUGAACUCAGGGAGAAUGAAGACCAUAUAACACCUUGCCCCAAGGAUACGAAGGAUAGUAGAUCAAUCUGUGUUCGAGACCAGAAGAAGAAUGAUGAUGAAGCAGCUAGUGUUGUGGGCCUUACUGAAUGUACUUCAGGGGGUCAAACUGAACAUCCUGGUUUGGAAAAGCAGGCUGCCACUGAGGCUAGUGGACAUUAUUCAGCUGCACAACAUGACAUAGAAUCCUUGCCUGACCUGCCUCUCCUGAGCACUACAUUUGACAGAAACUACAAUGACGAUAAUAUAGCAUCAACAUAUUUGGAUUUCAAUUCUGCAUCUAGUUUACAAAAAGUUACCAGAAGCGUGUCAGUGCAGCUGGAUGGUGAACCUGAAGUGUUUGGCAACGGGCAUGAAGAAAAGAGCAACAACUUUCUCGACUGUGACUGGGGCAAUAUUGGAGAUUUUGAUGAUUUUGACUACUUGUUUAGCAACACUGAAGCCUUAUUUGGAAAUGAGAUGAUUUUUAAUGGCAGUGAUUUCCUUGUUACGAGUUCAGAUGUGGUUGACGGUACUGUACAAUCAAUCCCCUUUCCGCGUGUACCAUUAAAUAAGCAACCAUCUUCUGAUUGUGGAUCUUCUUCGGUUCUGAUUAAUUGUAUUCCCAGUAAAAUAGCCAAACAAGAAAUCAAGGGAGAUGUAGAGAAGAGACCAAUGAAAUCACAAAGAAAACCAGAUGAAGGAAGCAAAAGUAAAACAUCCAACAAUACAAGUGGUUUCUCCCAGAAGCAAGGACACCAGCAACCAGACAGUUUGCAUUCAUUGUCCGAACCUCCUGUCCAGCAUUUUCAGACUCGUCAAUAUGCACUGCUCCACGAUAGCAAGAAUAUGGAGCUAUUUCAAGAUGCUAUUCAGCUUGUAUUCCCUGGCUAUGGAUAUCCUGCAUAUCCGUGUCCUACCAUUCCGGCGGUGUCAAAUAUUCAGGCUGAAGGCCAUCAGACAAACCCAAAGGCUGCAUGUUACCAAACUUCAGUAGAUCCUCUGAAGCAAUCAAGUUCCACAGAAAAGCCACAAGAUAUGCCAUCAAGGGCACUGAUGAUGACACCCCAGGAAAAGAUUGAAAAGCUUAGGCUCCGGCAACAACAACAUGCCCUGAGAGCUAUUCAACAACAGCAGCAGCAAUUUCGUCAAGAGGGUUCGGGCAGGGACACUUUGGUACCUCGAGCAUACUCCCGAAGGAAGAAGAACUCAGAUUCAUUAGGGAGUUCAGGUAUCAUAGACGAAAAUGCACCAGAGCAGACUUCAGCUUGUCGUAAAGAGAUUCAUAAGAAUUCUGGAAUUCCUGAUGAUCCCUUUAUAGAGGAAAAAAUAUAUUAUGAGCUUAAAGAUGCCCUUGGGAAGCUGGAUGCCAGAACUCGACUCUGCAUUCGAGACAGUCUGCUUCGAUUGGCUCAUAGUUCCUCACAGAGACAAAUUGCUGGUGACAGAACUAGCAGUAACAAGACUAAAAGAGAUGAAGAUGAAGUUUCAGAAAAUGACGCAUCCAACAGGAGAAAAAGAUCUCUGGUGAAGGAAGCAGAAACAGACACCAAUCCAGUUGAUCGAAUUGUAGCCCAUUUGCUGUUUCAUAGACCAUGUUCGACGGUUGCAACACUUGCAAAGGAAGAAAUCGCAUCCUCGACUCUGAUGUCACUUGAAGCUGAUUCCAAGAUGCCUGGGGCCAUGCCUGGGCGACCAUCAGGAGAUCAACAGACUGCGCAGGAAAUGGCAAUUCAGCCUUCAGUGUAA
rnacentral:rRNA from 1 species